rnacentral:rRNA from 1 species
UUGACCUCGGAUCAGGUAGGGAUACCCGCUGAACUUAAGCAUAUCAAUAAGCGGAAGG